CCCCAGAGGCAGGAUGGGCACCCAGGGCAGCCCGGUGAAGAGCUACGAUUACCUGCUCAAGUUCCUGCUGGUGGGCGACAGCGACGUGGGGAAGGGGGAGAUCCUGGAGAGCCUGCAGGACGGCGCCUCCGAGUCCCCGUACGCCUACAGCAACGGAAUUGACUACAAGACCACUACUAUCCUGUUGGAUGGCAGAAGGGUCAAGCUGGAACUCUGGGACACCUCAGGGCAAGGAAGAUUUUGUACCAUUUUCAGAUCCUACUCCAGGGGAGCCCAGGGAAUUCUCUUGGUGUAUGACAUCACUAAUCGCUGGUCCUUUGAUGGGAUAGACCGAUGGAUAAAGGAAAUAGAUGAGCACGCCCCAGGUGUCCCUCGGAUCCUGGUGGGGAACAGGCUGCACCUGGCCUUCAAGCGGCAGGUGCCGACGGAGCAGGCGCGCGCCUACGCCGAGAAGAACUGCAUGACCUUCUUCGAGGUGAGCCCCCUGUGCAACUUCAACGUCAUCGAGUCCUUCACCGAGCUGUCCCGCAUCGUGCUCAUGCGCCACGGCAUGGAGAAGAUCUGGAGGCCCAACCGAGUGUUCAGCUUACAGGACCUGUGCUGCCGAGCCAUCGUGUCCUGCACCCCGGUGCACCUCAUCGACAAGCUGCCCUUGCCCGUCACCAUCAAGAGCCACCUGAAGUCCUUCUCCAUGGCCAACGGGAUGAACGCGGUGAUGAUGCACGGCCGCUCCUAUUCCCUGGCCAGCAGCGGGGGCGGCAGCAGCAGCAAAGGCAACAGCUUGAAGAGAUCCAAAUCCAUCCGGCCGCCCCAGAGCCCCCCACAGAACUGCUCACGCAACAACUGCAAGAUCUCUUAGCAGGACGGGCGCCCUGAGCUUGUGUCGGAUCCACGCCCAGCCACCCAUGUACAGCUGUUUGCGCACCGAACCCUUCCCCGCUGGAUCCUUCCGGAUGGGCCGCGGCUGCUUUCCCGACGGCACGCAGGAGCCGUAGGAAUGCGCUCGCCUUUUGCCUUGGCAUAGGAAGAAGCAUGGUGCCGGCUGGAUCCCGCAGCGCUGGCGGGGAGAGGAUCUGCCAAGUGACCCUCCAAGAAUGCUUUGGGCUUUGCCUCUUGGCCUGGGGUGGAAAAUUCAGCAGCUGCCGGGUUGGGGAGGGGGGAAGGGGAAAAAAAGCUCAUCCAGUCUCAAUGGAGCAAUGGAUUUAAUGGAAGAUUGAGAGGCUUAAGGGAGUAGGCAAGGAGAGUCUGUGCUGCAACUUUAACUCUUGGCCUCCUGAACAGAUUGCUGGUGCAAUAGUGAUCGUUGGAUGUAGACAAAAGAAAGAAACAGGGACUAAUGACAGUUUUCACCAGGAUGUUAACCUGCUGUUGCCAAAAAAAUCCAGAAAACAAGGCAAGAGUUGGCCAAUUGGAAAGGGGAAGGCUGCGCUCCGCUCGCCGCCUUCGCUUUAUUUAUGUAAAUAUUAUACAUAUAUAUAAAUAUCACUUGUUUUUUAAGGGUUUUUUUAAGAAGCAGUCAGGGAAAAUUUUAUGCAGCCAUGUAAAUACAAGCACUGGAUUGACUUUCCCAGUGUCAGCAAAGGGGACAAGUGGAGGAUUUUCCAAUGAAAACACAUAAAUGCUUUAAGAGACUUUCCUUCACCUCUGGGCUCGUGCUGGUGUUUUUAAAUACUACAUGUGCAGAAGGAAAGGACAAUUGGUAUGGAACGUGCCCCAAGCUGCUCUAUUCCUAUGAUUCCCUAGAAGUUGUGAGUGCUGAAGGCAGGUGGGAUGGCAGUGCACGGAGAAGCAGAGUGGUGAGGCCAGGGUCCUGGGGGAUUGGAGUGUUUUGGCAGGCAGUAGGAAGAGGCAGCUCUGGGGUUAGACUGAUGCCUUGCUCACUUUGUGCUUUCUCAUUGGGGAUUUGGGAGCAGGGGGUGGAAGCAUUGUGCCUAAAGCAGAGGAAAAAUGCUGAAUUUUGUCCCUUAUUGCUGCAAAGCCUCAGCCAUCGCUUCUAGUGCCCUCCAUCCAUGACAUCACCCCACGUGACAGCCCUUGGAUCGUGGCUGCUUCCAGCUUUGCUUUCCCAAAGAUGCUGCCUGAGCUCAUGCUGCUGUGGCUCCUCCUGGAUGAAGGUGGGAAGGGGCAAAAGUGGCUUUCCCCACUGGAGCAUGAAGGAGCAGGGACUGGAAAGGUGGAAGGUUGGGGUGGGGAAACAGCAAUCUCCAGGUCCCUCAGUGGCAAAAUCACUUGGCUCUUGGGGCACUCCCAGGAGAUCAGGAGAGCCAACUGCUUUGCUCCGUGGGAUGGCUCCUGGAUCUUGGAGGGGCGAGAGCUUGGGAUGGAUCUUCUGUCAAGCAAGUGCACCUGCUUCCCUGGCUUUGUUCCACAGCUGACCUGUGCUGGAAAUUUACCUGGGAACUGAGAAAUAGCACCCAGCCCUUAUCCCAGGCAGCCUGGCAGUAGGGCUGGGCUAUGGUGGCAGCUUCUCAUAGGUGGCCAGAGCGUGUAGAUUGUGAGUAGUGUGGUAACAAGUGAGGUGUACAGUGCUGCCAUCUCCUCCUGGGAUCAGCUUGCUCUGCUCCCCCUUCCCAGGCAGCCUGGGGCACUGCGCGGGCAGAAUGAAGCCGCCGCAGCUCCCGUGCGGCCGACAGACCCGCUGUGUCCAGGCACAGGGACAGGAGGGACCUGUCCCCCUGUGGGGACAUCGCUUCCCUUGCUCCAGAGCCGCCCUGGGAGGUGCCAGAGGCUUCCCCCUCCCCUCUCUGCAGAGCACAGCACGGGCAGGUCGCUUGGCUCGCUUCUCUCGUGCUUUAUCACCCAGCUCAAGUGAGCGAGGACAGAAUUAAACCCCAGGCAGGUGGAGGGGGAGAGGAAUCCUUUGAAGGGGUGCUUUGGCUCAAGAGCAAAGCUGCAGCCGGGCCGUGCCGGUGGCACGAAGGCCGGGGGAUUUGGAGAACCUGUCUGGGAUGGCUGGCACCUGUUCCCCGUCGCUUAACGCGCAGCCGAAGACAAUCGCUGGCUCAGCAGCGCAGGGAUAUACGGCCAACAGGUGACCGGCCCCGCCAGCACCGGCUCCGCGGAACCGCCCCCGGCCGUGGGGCAAGAGGGACAAAGGGAUCCUUCCCGAAACCACCGACUGCUGCGUGUCUCACAGCUCACCGUGUGCCACCUCCCCACGCUGCUUCCCUGUGGUUGGUUUAGGUUUUGUCACCCUGUAAAGUCUCACCGAUCCUGUCUGGAGUGGGGAUGGAAGAUUUCCCUGGAGUGAUUGCCCAGCAACGAACUUUUUUUAUUUUUUAAUUUAAAAGGAAAAAGAUUCUUGCAUCUGAUGUCAACACUAGUCUGUAGCUGCUCUCCAACACUUGUACCAUUCCUGAGUUGGGUUUUUUUGGACUAUCCUUUUAUUUUUUUAUUCCUUUGUACAGUCAGUGUUGUUUAACUGAUUCUACAUGGUUUUGUUUUGUAUAAAUUAAAGUCUUUUUGUUUGUUUUGAACUACCAAUUGAAAAGAGGAGAAGUUGCAUCCUUUUUUGUGUGGGCUGGGAA